rnacentral:rRNA from 1 species
GACGAACGCUGGCGGCGUGCUUAACACAUGCAAGUCGAGCGGAGUAUGGGAGCUUGCUCUUAUACUUAGCGGCGGACGGGUGAGUAACGCGUGAGCAACCUGCCUUCAACUACGGGAUAACACUUAGAAAUAGGUGCUAAUACCGUAUAAGACCACAUUCGGGCAUCCGAGAGGGGUAAAAGAAUUUCGGUUGAAGAUGGGCUCGCGUCCCAUUAGCUAGUUGGUGAGGUAACGGCCCACCAAGGCUGUGAUGGGUAGCCGACCUGAGAGGGUGAUCGGCCACAUUGGAACUGAGAAACGGUCCAA